rnacentral:rRNA from 1 species
ACAUCCAGAGAACUUAGCAGAGAUGCUUUGGUGCCUUCGGGAACUCUGAGACAGGUGCUGCAUGGCUGUCGUCAGCUCGUGUUGUGAAAUGUUGGGUUAAGUCCCGNAACGAGCGCAACCCCUAUCCUUUGUUGCCAGCGAUUCGGUCGGGAACUCAAAGGAGACUGCCGGUGAUAAACCGGAGGAAGGUGGGGAUGACGUCAAGUCAUCAUGGCCCUUACGAGUAGGGCUACACACGUACUACAAUGGCGCAUACAAAGAGAAGCGACCUCGCGAGAGCAAGCGGACCUCAUAAAGUGCGUCGUAGUCCGGAUUGGAGUCUGCAACUCGACUCCAUGAAGUCGGAAUCGCUAGUAAUCGUAGAUCAGAAUGCUACGGUGAAUACGUUCCCGGGCCUUGUACACACCGCCCGUCACACCAUGGGAGUGGGUUGCAAAAGAAGUAGAUAGCUUAACCUUCGGGAGGGCGUUUACCACUUUGUGAUUCAUGACUGGGGUGAAGUCGUAACAAGGUAAGCGUAGCGAG